UAUUUCCACGUGUGAGCAAUUGAGAUUGCUUUGGGCUGAUCUAAGGGUAAUUAGAGCUCUCAAUUCAAUCUCUUUCAAGAGAAAGUUAAAACUGUGUGGGGUGAUUAUUAUCAGAAAGAACAAGCAAAUUAGAAGGGAUGUGUAGUGAUGGAUCAUUGUAAAAUGGAGCAAAAUAGGGCAAUGUGAGACUCAGAGCCUGUCUCUUCUUCUUUAUGUGGGAUAUGGUAUGUUUAAAAUCCUUCGGACAUCAAUCACUACAACUUUAGAAAAAGAGAAACGUUGUAUUUUUCAUAUAUUUUUAAAAAAACAUAGACAGGGAGAGCGAGAGAAAGAGAUAUGAGCAAGGUACAGUGAAAUUACUUCAUUCUCAGUGUUCCAGAAUGAUAUGCGCUCGAGGAUCAUGCCUCUAAAACAGUAUUGGGCUUGUAGUAGGGACAACAAGGCGGAUGGAACUCGAGAUGAGCAAGAUGAGAAGUACAUCACUCGAUACCAUCAAGGGACAAACUUUGAUCCUAACUUCUAAGUGGCUCAGCAGAGGAAACAAUAAGGAGAAUGGAGGAGAAAUCAGAGCUGAAGAUUCUUGUAAUUCCAUGGCGACUCUGGAUUAACUUUAAGACCGUAGUCAUCUCUUUCUAGAUGUAUGGAAAAAAAGGUGACUCAAUUAAUCAUAUUUUCCAAAAGCAGACUUGUAAACAUUGAUAAUAAGAAAAUGCCUCUUUUUGUUUUCUUCGUGGACUAAUGUUGUACUGUUAUUAUACGAGAAAAUCAAUAAUAUAGUUAAUUAUUGAU